GACGUAGGGCGCGAGCGUUGUCCGGAUUUAUUGGGCGUAAAGAGCUCGUAGGCGGCUUGUCGCGUCGUCCGUGAAAACCCACAGCUCAACUGUGGGCUUGCGGUCGAUACGGGCAGGCUAGAGUUCGGUAGGGGAGACUGGAAUUCCUGGUGUAGCGGUGAAAUGCGCAGAUAUCCGGAGGAACACCGGUGGCGAAGGCGGCUUCCUGGACCGACACUGACGCUGAGGAGCGAAAGCUAGGGGAGCAAACGGG
rnacentral:rRNA from 1 species